rnacentral:lncRNA from 1 species
CCGGCCUCUGGAUGUGGAGCUGGGGGACGGGAGAGAAGACUCAAGGCCGAAUCUGCUCUCCCUCAGAUUCUGGUCUGUAGGGAGAGGCCGUGAUGAGUGAUGGGAGCCUUGGUAGGGGGAGGACUAGGGGGCAGAGGGGAUUUCCUCUGGCAAAAGGAAGAGUCAGCCCGGCAUCUGCCCUACGCCCUUUCCCACUGCCGACCACCCCUCCGACCCUGCAUCACUGGGCUGCGGGUGCAUCUUAUCCCAUUUUACAGCUGGGAAAAGUGAGACCCAGACGCUCCAUCUCAGCUUCCCCAUGUGGUGCUGUGCUCUGUGGUGGCCAAGACUGCCAUGUUGCCAUGCUGUGAUGCAGCAAGAAAGUCCUCACCAGAUGCAGCCCCUUGAUCUUGGACUUCCCAGCCUCCAGAACUGUGAGCCAAAUAAACUUCUAUUGUUUAUCAAUU